AAAAAAAGUGUAACUGAAUUCUGUCCCCUUCAAAGAAUAACCUAAAAGCCUGGGGCCCAAGCCACUCACCUCUUCACUGCUUUCUACUGUCUUUCCAAGCUCUGUCGCCCUUGGAAACAAUUUCAUCACAUUGGUUCUCAUGAGUGAACUAAAGGCAUGGGAUGUGUUUAUUCUAUAUACAGUGCCUUACGGUGUAAACCCAGACUGGCUUCACACUCCUGACCGUCCUGCCAGCCUCAGCUUCCCGAGUUCUGCACUUAAGGGCAUGCGCUCCCGUGCCCUCCCAUCUUGAACUGCAAUGCUGACGAACAGUGAUGCUCUUUCGCUGAUCCUCUACCUCUGAUCCUGCAAUGUGCUGGGUUCCCUCGGGAGCACUGAGAUUCUCUAAGUACAGGAUUCCGGGUGAGUUCUGUGUUAAGUUCCAGGCAGAUCGGAGGGCACCUUUAUGGAAUACUGAGAGUGAGAAGAGGUGGGGUAACAAGACGGUUUCAAGAAAAGAUGGAGGAGCGCUGGGAUUCAAGAGAGGGGCCGGGAAAAAGAGAAAAAGCAUAGAGAAACAGAAAGGUCAUGCGGACAGAAGUAGAAAACAAUCCAUAGCUCCAACCUCAGCUUCCUGAGAGACAAGGUUACUGGGGAACCAAAGAUAGAACCACAAGGCAAGGCAGGCUGCCCCAGAGACAAAAGGCUGCAGGAGAAAACCCACAUACUCGCAAGCCUUAAACUCAAGGGGAUUUUGUAUGACGAAGGCCACUGUGUGGUAGGCUAACACUGAAGAGAAAUUCAUUACAAUGCUCCCCAUACCUGAAGGGUCUGCAGGGGAGGCAGCAGCAUCCUACUACUUGAGAGUGAGCUACUCUUGAGUCCUAAGAACAUGAAGCAAUCACUAGUCAAGAGCCUGAGGACGCCGUACCACAACAUCAGGGUAGGAAAUGAACAAGUGAAGCAGCCAUGGGAAGAGAGGAAUCAGACACAGACUGGACCCACUGAGUUUAGGCAGCAGGGAACUAAAGGCCUGCCCUCUGUGGCCUAGAGCAAACCACACUGCCUGUAGAAUAUCGUGGAGGCUGAGAAGUCAAGGGACCAGGUCGUGACUAUGCGUUGCUUGACCUCCAAAGCUGCCUCACCUCCACAUGUGGUACACUGCUGGGUGGGUCCAAGCAUUCUGGGUCCAGGUCCUAUCAAUUUCCCCAGCCCCUGCCUCCCGCAGGGUGCCUCACAGCUGGGGGUGAUCUGAAGGUGCUGAGUGAGACCUGUCGACCGGGCGCCUGGACUCCUGGACUCUCUCUCCACCCCAAGUCGGGUGCUCUGCUUGCCUGUCCCACUCGGUUCCUAGGCCCCUGAGCUCACUCGGACCUCAAGCAGCUCUUGGCACACAAAUAUAAUAAGCUUUAAAGUGAAUGCAGUCUUGGAGUUGACAAGUUACUCCUGACCGGCCCAGCCUUUAUCAAACAAUACAGCACCAAUCUCCACAGUGAGAGGAGAAAGGGAUUACCAUAGAUGCCAUUGAGGAUCCAUAACCCACUCUAGACCUGGUGGAUCCCAACGGAAGCGUCUCCAUUUUAUCUCUGUACAUCUAAUAAUAAUUUUACUAAUUGUCUUUACUUUUAAAAA